rnacentral:rRNA from 1 species
UACGUAGGGUGCAAGCGUUAAUCGGAAUUACUGGGCGUAAAGCGUGCGCAGGCUGUUCGGAAAGAGAGGUGUGAAAUCCCAGGGCUUAACCUUGGAACUGCACUUCUAACUACCGGGCUAGAGUACGUCAGAGGGGGGUAGAAUUCCACGUGUAGCAGUGAAAUGCGUAGAGAUGUGGAGGAAUACCGAUGGCGAAGGCAGCCCCCUGGGAUGAUACUGACGCUCAUGCACGAAAGCGUGGGGAGCAAACAGG